AGCGGCAGAUGCACAAACCAGAACGGCCGGCGCCGGCCGGGGCCAUCGCCCGCUGCGGCAGCUCCCCGGGCUCCAUCUCGCAUCCCGUCUGCGUUCCGCCUCCCUUGAAAGCGCAUUCCCCACCUCCGCUAAUCCUGUCCUAUUUCCGGUACCCAGCGCGAAAUUCCACUGCUCUUUUGUUGGUGCACAUUUAUUGGAUACCUCCUUUUUCAGGAUAUGUCACCAUAGUCUUUUUUACUGAAAAUUAGUGAAAGCCUAAUUAGAGUGAAAGAGUACAUCUGGAUUUUUUUUUUUCUUGUAGAGGAAAAAAUGAACAUUACUUGUGUAACUGAUGGUAGUUGGAACUGCAUAUUUGCCAAUGUCACAAAAUCUAAAGGAAAAUGUUAUAGUCACCCGUGGUUUCCUUCUUGCCUGGAUGCUCCGUUGUCCCGGGCUGAAAAGGGUAGCAGUACAGUACAUAUAAUGUCAAGUUGCGGGAAGAGUGUGGCAGAUUGUCAUUGAUGCAUUUUUUUGGUGAUGUGUGUGGUUGUUUUGGGGAGUGGGAACUGUUGAGAACACCACAAAUAGAAUAAAAUAAUAUCCGUGAAGUUAUUUGCCCGUUUCUAAUUCGAGACAUUUUUCUAAAAACAGUUGCAAAGGAAAGAUUACAUAGUUUUAAAAAAAUUUGAAGUAUGUUUUUAAAUAACUAAAUUAAUGUUCUUUGAAAUUCCACCAAAAUGAUGAAGUCACCAGAUAGCAGCUGAUAAAAUGUGUCUGAGUCCAGUGCGCCCAGCUCUACAAAAGGCAGAAGAGGAAUUUUCAAAUUUGCCAGUGCCCAGUAAGAGGACAUGAAUUUGCCAGUACCAGAGGAAAUUCUCUUUACAAAUUUUGUCAGAGGUAUCCUUGGAAAAGUAUUUCAUUUGCUUUUACCCUCCAAAUUAUUUUAAUCUAUAUUUUUAAGAGUUUCCAUUCUCAGUUGAGUUUUUCUUGUUCUUCCCCUUCUGUCAGUUUUGAAAGUCUUGCACAAAAACAAUCCAGGUGUUGUUACAGCAGUGUGAUUAAAACCAGGUCAGGCCUACACUGAAAUCCUAGUUCCACCACUCAUUAGCUGUAUGACCUUGAGCAAGUUACUUAACCUCUCUGAUCCCCAAUUGUUGGAUUUUUUUUUUUUUAAAGAGAUAAUCAUAACACUUAGGCCUUGACUCGUUGGCAGAAUUAAAUGAGUUAAGACAUAAAAUGUGCAGCAUGUAUUUGUCAUGUUGUUAGCGCUUCAGAAAUAUAAAUGUAAACAUUUUGGUACUUCGUUUAUGGAGGUUCUUAUACUAGUUAAUUUUAUUCAAAGCAUGGUAGGGAACAAAAGAUCCUUUUCGGAUAACCUGUGUGAGUUAUUUAAUAAAACACUAACACUUUUUAAGGUUCAAAACUGGAUUAAUUAUGUUAUUUUACACCACUUAAAAUGUGCAUUUAAAAAAUAUUCACUGAAGUGAGAGAGAAGUUCCUUUUAAGUUAAUAAGUAAUGGUAAGUUGCAUGAUCCUUUUAACUCAGUUUAAGCAUUUGAUAACACACCUAACCUUGUUUGAAUAAACUCAAUAACAGAAUAUAGAUAAAUAAAAUAUAUAUUUCAUAUGAGUAUGUAUGUAAAUUUAUUUCUUUUAAAGAAAAAUUUCAGGAAACAAAAUGAAUAAGCUCAUAGUCAUAAAACCGCUAGCCAAAGUGUGUCAGUGGUCUGAUUUGUAGGAGAGCAGACUCAGGACUCGGGAAUUUUUUUUUUUUAAGAGACAGGGUUUCACUCUGUCACUGAGGCUGGAGUGCGGGGAAGGGAACGUAGCUCACUGCGGCCUCAAACUCCUGGGCUCAAGCUGCCCUCCCACCUCAGCUUCCCAAGUAGUUGGGAUUACAGGUCCAAGCUGCUGCUCCUAGCUGAAAAGUUUUAAUUAUAUAAAAUGUUUAAAUAAAUUGUUAUUCCUUUCUUUUAUGAAGAAAUAUAAUUGAUAUUCUUGUCACUUAUUAAAUAAGCAACAUUUGUUAAAUAUUUAGCACCUACUGUGAAGAUAGCACUGUGCUAGCUGCUAUGAAUAAACUAGAAUAGCAUAUCACUGUUUUCCUAUGGAUGAAAACCCAGAAAUGUAAAAUAAAUAGCCAUGAAUGGGUUGAGAUUCCCCCUGCCCCGUUUGGAUACUGAUGACAGAAAUCUUAUAUGCACUAUGUAAGCAGUGCCCUAGGAUUAGAACAGAAAGUAACUUGCAAUUUUUAAAGGUAGGAGAAAUGACUGAAGUUUGGAGUGGUCAGGAGUUUCCCGGGAAGUCUCUUGCCUUUGUGACUUUGUAUAACUCCCUCAAACUCUUUGAGCCUGAGCUCCUCAUUUAUAAAAUGGAGGAGUUGAACCUAGCCUCCAAGGUCCUUUCUAGCUUCACCAUGCCCUGGUCUGUUGUUUAAUGACAUGAAUCCAAGAUGGACAACAAAUGGUCGAUUUCGCUCCUUCUACAGUAAACAGAUCUAUCUUCUCAGCAGAAGUAAAAUAGUAAAGAAAGAAGACAUGUUUGAGGCCUGUUGAGGCCUGUUUGCAGGAUGCAUUGUAUCUAAUCAAGGAAUUGAGAAUGUAGCCCUAAAUAUUAGGAAGGAGUUGAAAGUUUCUGAGCAGGAACAGAACAUGCUGAAAGGAAAUUGAGUCAGCAGCAUGGUGUACAGGAGAGCUUGGCAGAGAGAAAGAAGGCAAGAAGACCUGUGGGAGGCAGCCAGUAAGGAGGUGAAGAGGGCCUGGACCAAAGGAAGCCAAGAAUGACUGAAAGAUUUAAAGAUGAAACCCAGAUUUAAAAGUAUCCUCAAGUAUUUGUUUAUUCUUUUCUUAGCAAAUUCUUUUUAGUACAAAGAUAAAAUAUGGCACUCUGAGUCAUAAAAUUUUCUGAAUUUCAGAAGUUGAAUGUUUUUCUGAAUGUAUCAACCUGUUGAAGUCAGUUCCUGUUUGUUAUUUUAGGCAUAUAUUCUUGGGCUUUUUUUUUUUUUUUUCUAGAGAAACUAUUGAGAGGUGACACCGUGCUGGCAGUCCUCACAGCCCUCGCUCUCGGCACCUCCUCUGCCUGGGCUACCAUUUUGGUGGCACUUGACGAGGCCUUCAGCCCACCGCUGCACUGUGGGAGCCCCUUUCUGGGCUGGCCAAGGCUGGAGCCCACUCCCUCAGUUUGCAGGGAGAUGUGGAGGGAGAGGCACGAGCGGGAACCAGGGUUGUGUGGGGCGCUUGCAGGCCAGCUGGAGUUCCGGGUGGGCGUGAGCUUGGCGGGCCCCGCACUUGGAGCAGCCAGCCGGCCCUGCUGGCCCCGGGCAAUGAGGGACUUAGCACCCGGGCCAGCGGCUGUGGAGGGUAUACUGGGUCCCCCAGCAGUGCCAGCCCACCGGCGCUGCGCUCGAUUUCUUGCCGAGCCUUAGUUGCCUUCCCGCGGGGCAGGCCUCGGGACUGCAGCCCACCAUGCCUGAGCCUUCCCCCACCUCCGUGGGUUCCUGUGCAGCCUGAGCCUCCCCGAAGAGUGCCGCCCCCUGCUCCACGGCGUCCAGUCCCAUCGACCACCCAAGGGCUGAGGAGUGCGAGCGCACGGCGCGGGACUGGCAGGCAGCUCCACCUGCAGCCCCAGGUGCGGGAUCCACUAGGUGAAGCCAGCUGGGCUCCUGAGUCUGGUGAGGACAUGGAGAGUCUUUGUAUCUAGUUCAGGGAUUGUAAACACACCAAUCAGCAGUCUGUAUUUAGCUCAAGGUCUGUGAGUGCACCAAUCGACACUCUGUAUCUAGCUGCUCUGGUGGGGCCUUGGAGAACCUUUAUGUCUAGCUCAGGGAUUGUAAACACACCAAUCGGCACUCUGUAUCUAGCUCAAGGUUUGUAAACACAGCAAUCAGCACCCUGUGUUUAGCUCAAGGUUUGUGAGUGCACCAGUCGACACUCUGUAGCUAGCUGCUCUGGUGGGGCCUUGGAGAACCUUUAUGUCUAGCUCAGGGAUUGUAAACACACCAAUUGGCACUCUGUAUCUAGCUCAAGGUUCGUAAACACACCAAUCAGCACCCUGUGUUUAGCUCAAGGUUUGUGAGUGCACCAAUCAAUACUCUGUAUCUAGCUGCUCUGGUGGGGCCUUAGAGAACCUGUGUGUCGAAACUCUGUAUCCAACUAAUCUGAUGGGGACAUGGAGAACCUUUGUAUCUAGCUCAGGGAUUGUAAACGCACCAAUCAGUGCCCUGUCAAAACAGGCCACUCGGCUCUACCAAUCAGCAGGAUGUGGGUGGGGCCAGAUAAGAGAAUAAAAGCAGGCUGCCCGAGCCAGCAUUGGCAACCCGCUUGGGUCCCCUUCCACACUGUGGAAGCUUUGUUCUUUUGCUCUUUGCAAUAUAUCUUGCUACUGCUCACUCUUUGGGUCCACGCUGCUUUUAUGAGCUGUAACACUCACCGCGAAGAUCUGCAGCUUCACUCCUGAACCCAGCGAGACCACGAGCCCACCAGGAGGAAUGAACAACUCCAGACGUGCUGCCUUAAGAGCUGUAACACUCACCGGGAAGGUCUGCAGCUUCACUCCUGAACCAGUGAGACCACGAACCCACCAGAAGGAAGAAACUCCGAACACAUCUGAACAUCAGAAGGAAUAAACUGCAGGCGCGCCACCUUAAGAGCUGUAACACUCAGCAUGAGGGUCCGCGGCUUCAUUCUUGAAGUCAGUGAGACCAAGAACCCACCAAUUCCGGACACAUUUUGGCGACCACGAAGGGACUUUCACCUAUCACCAAGCGGUGAGACAAUCGCCGAGCGGAGAGACUAUCGCCUAUCGCCAAGUGGUGAGAAAAUUGCCUAUCGCCAAGCAAAUCGAGGCCAUCAAGCUACAGAUGGUCUUACAAAUGGAACCCCAAAUGAGUUCAACUAACAACUUCUACCGAGGACCCCUGGACCGACCCGCUGGCACUUCCCCUGGCCUAGAGAGUUCCCCUCUGAAGGACACCACAACUGCAGGGCCCCUUCUUCACCCCUAUCCAGCAGGAAGUAGCUAGAGCGGUCAUCGGCCAAAUUCCCAACAGCAGUUGGGGUGUCCUGUUUAGAGGGGGGAUUGAGAGGUGAUACCGUGCUGGCAGUCCUCACAGCCCUCGCUCGCUCUCGGCACCUCCUCUGCCUGGGCUACCAUUUGGUGGCACUUGAGGACUUCAGCCCACUGCUGCACUGUGGGAGCCCCUUUCUGGGCUGGCCAAGGCUGGAGCCCACUCCCUCGGCUUGCAGGGAGGUGUGGAGGGAGAGGCGCGAGCGGGAACCGGGGUUGUGUGCGGUGCUUGCGGGCCAGCUGGAGUUCCGGGUGGGCGUGAGCUUGGCGGGCCCCACACUUGGAGCAGCCAGCCGGCCCUGCUGGCCCCGGGCAAUGAGGGACUUAGCACCCGGGCCAGCAGCUGUGGAGGGUAUACUGGGUCCCCCAGCAGUGCCAGCCCACCGGCGCUGCGCUCGAUUUCUCGCGGAGCCUUAGCUGCCUUCCCGCGGGGCAGGCCUCGAGACUGCAGCCCACCAUGCCUGAGCCUUCCCCCACCUCCGUGGGUUCCUGUGCAGCCUGAGCCUCCCCGAGGAGCGCCGCCCCCUGCUCCACGGCGUCCAGUCCCAUCGACCACCCAAGGGCUGAGGAGUGCGAGCGCACAGCGCGGGACUGGCAGGCAGCUCCACCUGCAGCCCCAGGUGCGGGAUCCACUAGGUGAAGCCAGCUGGGCUCCUGAGUCUGGUGAGGACGUGGAGAGUCUUUAUAUCUAGCUCAGGGAUUGUAAACACACCAGUCGGCACUCUGUAUUUAGCUCAAGGUCUGUGAGUGCACCAGUCGACACUCUGUAUCUAGCUGCUCUGGUGGGGCCUUGGAGAACCUUUAUGUCUAGCUCAGGGAUUGUAAACACACCAAUCGGCACUCUGUAUCUAGCUCAAGGUUUGUAAACACAGCAAUCAGCACCCUGUGUUUAGCUCAAGGUUUGUGAGUGCACCAAUCGACACUCUGUAGCUAGCUGCUCUGAUGGGGCCUUGGAGAACAUUUAUGUCUAGCUCAGAGAUUAUAAACACACCAAUUGGCACUCUGUAUCUAGCUCAAGGUUCGUAAACACACCAAUCAGCACCCUGUGUUUAGCUCAAGGUUUGUGAAUGCACCAAUCGACACUCUGUAGCUAGCUGCUCUGGUGGGGCCUUGGAGAACCUUUAUGUCUAGCUCAGGGAUUGUAAAUACACCAAUCGGCACUCUGUAUCUAGCUCAAGGUUUGUAAACACACCAGUCAGCACCCUGUGUUUAGCUCAAGGUUUGUGAGUGCACCAAUCGAUACUCUGUAUCUAGCUGCUCUGGUGGGGCCUUAGAGAACCUGUGUGUCAAAACUCUGUAUCCAACUAAUCUGAUGGGGAUAUGGAGAACCUUUGUAUCUAGCUCAGGGAUUGUAAACGCACCAAUCAGCGCCCUGUCAAAACAGGCCACUAGGCUCUACCAAUCAGCAGGAUGUGGGUGGGGCCAGAUAAGAGAAUAAAAGCAGGCUGCCCGAGCCAGCAUUGGCAACCUGCUCGGGUCCCCUUCCACACUGUGGAAGCUUUGUUCUUUCGCUCUUUGCAAUAAAUCUUGCUACUGCUCACUCUUUGGGUCCACGCUGCUUUUAUGAGCUGUAACACUCACCGCGAAGAUCUGCAGCUUCACUCCUGAACCCAGUGAGACCACGAGCCCACCAGGAGGAAUGAACAACUCCAGACGUGCUGCCUUAAGAGCUGUAACACUCACCGCAAAGGUCUGCAGCUUCACUCCUGAGCCAGCGAGACUACGAACCCACCAGAAGGAAGAAACUCCGAACGCAUCUGAACAUCAGAAGGAACAAACUGCAGACGCGCCACCUUAAGAGCUGUAACACUCACCGCGAGGGUCCGCGGCUUCAUUCUUGAAGUCAGUGAGACCAAGAACCCACCAAUUCCGGACACACUAUGAAGUACUAGCUGUACAAGUCAGGGUGGGCUAAGCUGCUAAAACAGAUACCUCCCUCCCCUUCAAUACCCUGAAGAACAAGAAGUUAAUUUUUUGCUCAUGUAACAUUUCAGAGAGGGUAUUCCAGGUUAGCAGCAGCUUUCCCCCAUGUGGUUAUUACAGGAUCCAGGCUUCUUCCCUGCUGGCUCUCCCAGGGCCCUGUCAUUGCCUCUGUGGUUUAGGUUCUGGUGGAGAGUGUGAAGGAGGCUUGUCACUGCUGUUUACUUAAAGGCCUUAUCCUAGAAAUGGCCCACAUCACUUUCACUCAUGACCCACUGGCCAAGUUCUUAAUCAUUUAGCCAAGGAUACCUACAAGGGAGGCUGGAAAAUGUAAUGUAGCCAUGUGCCCAGGAGGGAAAAAAAAUGAAUUUCAGCAGAUGGCUAGUGAUGGCCUCAUUAGUGCUCAGGCUCAAAUGAAAUAAUAAGUCGACUCUUAUUUCUCCUAAAAUAAUUGGAUCUUGACAUUGAAAUUGGUGUGCUGAUUGUAUUUAAUAAGUGACCUCCAAUGCAAUUAUUUCAUUUUGCCAUACUUUAUGUAAUUUUUAUUUUUUCUGCCUUACCUUUCGAUGUUUAAAGGGAAGCAUAAUUAGUUAUUGAAAAGGUUAUUGAGACUUAAAAAAAGAUUUGAACUUGGCUUGGUUGAUGCUACCACACAGAAACCGCAAACAUCCAACUCAACGCUCUUAGUUGCUGCUCAUGAUAGUCUAUGCACAGUGACUGAUGAAUUUAGCCUGUCUUGAGGCUUCAAAACUUAGUCUUAUGUCAUCACCAGCAGAGCAUUAUCCUAAAUUACAGGUUUUCAAUGCGGGGGGAGGGGCAGUUUUGCCCCUCAGGGGACAUUUGGCAAUCUCUGGAGACAUUUUUGGUUGUCAUACCUGGGGGGAUGCCCCUGGCAUCUCCUGGGUUGAGGUUAAGGAUGCUACUAAUCUACAGUGCACAGUACAGCCCCCCCACAUACACACACUACAAAGCAUUCUCCCACCCAAAUUGCCAGGAGUGAGAACUUUGAGAAACCCUGCCCUAGACUGUUAAAUUCAAAAAGAAAUAAUGGUUUAUUGCUCACAGUGUGCCAGGCACUGUGUUAAACUCCCUAUAUUCAUAGUUUCGUUUUUAUCCUCACAACAACCUGUGAAGAAAGAACUCUCGUCCAUCACCACUUUACUGUUGAGGGCACUAAGCCUUCUAGUGGUUAAAUGACUUGCCCAGGGCCACAACUAUUAGAUGUUGCAGUCAGGAUUUAAUUCCAGGCACUUUGUGUUCAAAGUGUUUCUCAUCCACUAUGCUAUAUGCCAGUAAUGCCCAAACCUAACUUUAGCCAGCAAUUGUCUGCAUCUCUUUAGUUUAUGAACAUUUAUUUAUUAGGACAUGCAGGAUAAAUCGUACCAACACAGUCCGUGUAUCCAGAAUUCUAAUUGACCUAGGCAGUGGGAGAGCCUGCCUCUCUAUUUUUUUUUAAAUUGGUGUGAACUAUACAUAACAUAAAAUUGGCCAUCUUAACCAUUUUAAGUAUAUAAUUGAGUGACAUUAAGUAGAUUUAUUAUAUUAUGUAAAUGGACUUAACACGAUUUAUUUCCAGAACUUUUUUAUCAUCCCAAACAGAAACUCUGUACUCAUUAAACAAUAACUCCCUGUUUCCCCAUUCCCCCUUGCCCCAGACACUAGUAACCUCCGUUCUACUUUCCCUCUCUGUGAGUCUCCCUGUUCUAGCUACCUGAUGUAAGUGAAAUCAGACCAUGUUUGAUCUUUUGUGUCUGGCUUAUUCACUUAGCAUAGUAUUUUCAAGGUUUAUCCAUGCGUGCAAAUUCCCUUCCUUUUAAUGACUAAAUAGUAUUUCAUUGUGUGUGUACAUGUGCACACACAAUGAAAUACUAUUUAGUCAUAAAAAGGAAGUUUGUACACAUAUAUACACACACACCAAAUUUUGUUUAUCCAUUCAUCAGUUCAUGGGCAUUUGCGGUUUUUUUCCACCUUUUGACUGUUAUGACUUUCCCUUUAUUUUUAAUCUGAACUUUACUCCAUCACUUCCUCACUUUCCUUUUUUAUUCACACCAUAAUUUUGAACAAGCAGACUUUGUAUUUUCAUUACUCUGGGGAUUUUUUUUGAGGGAGGCUUGCUACCCUUUGGGGUUGUGAUAAGGUUGUGCCAGUAACAGAAUUCAUGCAGUCAAAAACAUUCAUGGGACUUUCUUUUGUGAUAGGUACUAGGGAUGCAGAGAUAAAUAAUACAAGGUCUCGACCUUCAAGGAGCUCAGGGUUUAGUAGGGAAAACAGAGGUAUAAGUAAGUCAUUGCAAUGCCAGGUCCCAGAUAUGGGAGGAUUCCAACAAAGAGAGGAUAAGGCCAGGCACAGCAGCUCAUGCCUAUAGUCCCAACACUUUGGGAAGCUGAGAUGGGAGGAUCACUUAAGCCCAGCAGUUCAAGGCUACCCUGGGCAACAUAGUGAGUGGCAAAAAAUACAAAAAUUAGCCAGGCAGGGUGGCACGUGCCUGUAGUCCCAGUUAUUUGGGAGUUUGAGGUGGGAGAAUCACCUGAGCCUGGGAGAUUGAGGCUGCAGUGAGCUGUGAUCAUGCCGCUGCACUCCAGCCUGGGUGACAGAGUGAGAGCCUGUAUCUUAAAAAAAAAAAAAAAGAAAAGAAA